CCCAACAUGGCACGUUCCUCCCAUCUCGUCGCUUCCACGGCCAUCGCUCUGCUCCUCCUCCUCGUGUCGUCGUACUCCUGCCGCGCGGCGAACAGCAGCGGCAAGAACCCGACCGCCGUGGUGCUGCCGGUGCGCAAGGACAGCGCGACGCUGCAGUACGUGACCGGCUUCCGGCAGCGCACGCCGCAGACGCCCGUGACUGCCGUGCUCGACCUCGGCGGCGCCACGCUCUGGGUGGACUGCGACCCCGGGUCGUACGCGUCCUCCUCCUACGCCCGCGUGCCGUGCGCGUCCAAGCCGUGCCGCCUGGCCCGCACGGCCGCCUGCGCCACCAGCUGCGUCGGCGCGCCGUCCCCCGGGUGCCUCAACGACACCUGCGGCGGGUUCCCCGAGAACACCGUCACGCGCGUCGCCACCGGCGGCAACCUCAUCACCGACGUGCUGUCCGUGCCCACCACCUUCCGCCCGACGCCGGGGCCGCUCGCCGCCGCGCCGGCGUUCCUGUUCGCCUGCGGCGCCAAGUUCCUCACCGAGGGCCUCGCGUCGGGCGCCGCCGGCAUGGCGUCGCUCAGCCGCGCGCGGUUCGCGCUCCCCACGCAGCUCGCCGCCACCUUCCGCUUCUCGCCCAAGUUCGCGCUCUGCCUCCCCUCGACCACCUCGGCCGGGGUCGUCGUCUUCGGGGACGCGCCCUACGCGUUCCAGCCCGGGGUGGACCUCUCCGCCGGCUCGCUCCUCUACACGCCGCUCCUCGUCAACAACGUGAGCACCGCGGGGGUCUCCGGCAAGGGUGACAAGUCGACCGAGUACUUCAUCGGCGUGACGGCCAUCAAGGUGAACGGCCGUGUCGUUCCGCUGAACGCCACGCUGCUGGGAAUCGACAAGCAGGGCGUGGGCGGCACCAAGCUGAGCACGGUCGCGCCAUACACCGUGCUGGAGAGCUCCAUCCACAGGGCCGUCACCGACGCGUUCGCGGCGGAGACGGCCAUGAUCCCUCGCGUGGCCGCCGUGGCGCCGUUCAGGCUCUGCUACGACGGGAGCAAGGUGGGGAGCACCCGCGUCGGUCCGGCCGUGCCGACCGUGGAGCUGGUGCUGCAGAACGAGGCCACGUCGUGGGUGGUGUUCGGGGCCAACUCGAUGGUGGCCGCCAACAAGGGCGGCGCGCUCUGCCUCGGCGUGGUUGACGGCGGCCCGGCCCCGCGGACGUCGGUGGUGGUCGGCGGCCACAUGAUGGAGGACAACCUGCUGGAGUUCGACCUGCAACGAUCACGCCUCGGGUUCAGCUCGUCCCUGCUGUUCCGGCAGACGACCUGCAACAACUUCCGCCUCGGCUAGGAAUGGCUGCAGCCUGUACCUGGUCACCUUCUCGAGGAUCGUCGAGAGGAAAUCGACGGGGGACUUCUCUGGCGUGCCAUACAACAUGACGUUGCUCAGCUGCCUCUUAUUGGCAUGAUUUUGUCCUCAACCAUCGGCAGCUUAGCAUGGUAGUUGCCUGAUGUAGACCACACAUGCAGAUGGGUUUGAGAAUGUGGAUUGAACCCGUAAGCUGGGAACUAGUUUGGAUGGGUUUGGGUGGAAAAUUGUUGUAGUUUGGUUUGGUCUGGAUCCUAGUAUGCAGCUUUUAGUUUGGUUUGGAUCGGUUGCUACACACGUGUUUGUACAAUUUGGAUUGGAUUCGUUCUGGUUUUGAAAGCAUUCCCAGCCAUAACAGCAAGGGAUCAUGUGAUUUUUGCUUCAACACUAAGUGAACAUGUGCAUAUGGAUGUAGUAUUGUUAUGUCCUUAUUGUAUCAUAGGAUGUAUAUUUCUUGAAGUUUUGGUCAGAUUAAACAAUAGGUUUCUUUCCUGAUUUUUUUAUCCACCAUGAUGUAUUUUCAUGAUCAUAUUGUGUAUAUGGGAUGUAUUAUUAUACCACAGUACUUUUGCAUCCCUUGAAGUUUUGCUUCACAUUAGACAGUAUGGUUCUUUCCUGAACUUCUUUUUAUUCAACAUGAUGUAUUUUCUCAUUAAAAAUUGCAUAUGGGAUGUAUUAUUCUAGUCAUAGGAUGUACUAUUUUUAACCCACAGAUAUAAUAACGCUGAUAUAUUUA